rnacentral:sRNA from 1 species
AGGAGGUGAGUAGAACAUGGAUCUUUUUAAUGGCAGCCAGGCAAAGUUUCGCGCCUAUUUGUGGAUUUGUCAGGCUAUUUUUUCCGCUGUUGUUGCAAAAUUGGACCAGUCUGUCCUUUUUUACGCAACUGCAUAGGAAAAACCAUUAGGAAGAGACAUUUCUACUCGCAUACGGAUUGAGGCGGCGGAGAAUUUUCUCUGCCGUCUUUU